rnacentral:tRNA from 1 species
UUUUCUAAUAUGGCAGAUUAGUGCAAUGGACUUAAACCCCAAAAAUAAAGUAUUUACUUUUUUUAGAA